AUGGAGGCUGUAGAUCCGGCGGUGGUGGUGAGCUGCGAGUGCUGCGGCCUGGAGGAGGAGUGCACCGGCGAGUACAUUGGCGGCGUGAGGGCCUGCUUCGGGGGCAGGUGGCUGUGCGGGCUGUGCUCCGAGGCCGUCAAGUACGAGGCCGGCCGCAGCAAGCGCACCGCGGCCAUGGGCGUGGAGGAGGCCGUGCGGGCGCACAUGGCCUUCUGCCGCAUGUUCAGGCGCGGCGGCCCCGCGGAGCGCGUGGCCGAGGGCAUGUGCCGGAUGCUUAGGCGCACCGCGUGCGAGAAGCACCGGGCCACCUCAUCGUCCUCGUCGCGGCCGACAGCGCCGGCGACGGUAGCGUCAGCGUCCGGGCACCACCGCGCCUCGGUGCCGUCCCCCCGAGUUGAUGUCUGCUUCUUGAGACGAGGUGAUGCUUCGGACAUACGUCUUCCUCGGCAAAGCUAG
rnacentral:rRNA from 1 species